GGGAGGGAGGAAGGAAAGGAAGGAAGAGACAAGGUAGGUAGGAAGAAAGGAAGGAAGAUAGGAAGGAGGGAAGGAGGGAGAUUGGAUUGAAAUGAAAAGGAAGGAAGAAGGAAGGGAGGAAGGAAGGAAAAGGAAGGAGAUGGAAAUAGGAAGGAAGAAAGGAGGAAAUAGAAAGGAAGGAGAUUGAAAUGAAAAGGAAGGAAGGAAGGAAGAAGAUGGAAAUAGGAAGGAGGAAAUAGGAAGGAAGGAAGGAAGGAGAGUGAAAUGAGAAGGAAGGAAGAAGAUGGAAAUAGGAAGGAAGGAGAUGGAAAUAGGAAGGAGAAAAUAGGAAGGAAGGAAGGAGAUUGAAAUGAAAAGGAAGGAAGGAAGAAGAUGGAAAUAGGAAGGAAGGAGAUGGAAAUAGGAAGGAAGGGGAUGGAAAUGAAAAGGAAGGAAGGAAGAAGAUAGAAAUAGGAAGGAAGGAAGGAGAUGGAAAUGAAAAGAAGGAAAGAAAGAAGGAGAUGGAAAUAGGAAGGAAGGAAGGAAGAUUAUAAUGAGAGUGAGGCGAGGGUGUGUGGGAAGUCCUGCCUUAGCACUUGGCCACCAUAAGUGCCUCCGACAUGAGUGACAUCAAGCUGGCCACACACCCCCAGCCCCACCCCACCCCCUCCACGUCAAACACAACCCUGAUGCGGCCCUCAAUGAAAUCGAGUUUGACACCCAUACUCUGGAGGUAGCCAGAGGGAGGAAGGGGGGAGAGAGAGGGGGGGAAUUCUGAGUGAAGCACCUGGUGGAAAAUUAAACCACACGCUCCCGGUUUGAGUUGCCUGGGAGCCAGCGCUGCCCCUCGAUGCUUAUCAAAUGUGUCUUCAGGGUGCGCGAUGCGACACACGCCGGCGUGUGUGCACACACAAGACAAGGGAGGUAAUUAGAUGCCAGAGAAGCUACUGGGGAGGGGGAGAAUUUUGCAUGCGAGCUGUCUAAUCGCAUCCCCAUUAACCGUUGGAACCGCUGGCUGAAACCGGAGCGAGGCCAGUUGGAAAGAUACUCGCUGUCAUCAAGCAUCCUUGGCGAGGAUUAGAAGAGCCUUGGUGGCGCAGCUGACUAAAGUGCUGUUAAAGUAGCACCAGCUGCCUGCAAUUACUGCGAGUUCGAAUCUCACCAGGCUCAAGGUUGACUCAGCCUUCCAUCCUUUCGAGGUAGGUAAAAUGAGGACCCGGAUUGUGGGGGCAAUAAGCUGACUUUGUAUAAAUAUACAAAAAGUAUGAAGGCUAUUGCUUAACGCAUUGUAAGCUGCCCUGAGUCUCCGGAGAAGGGCGGCAUAUAAAUCAAAUUUAAAAAAAAAAAGAAAAGAAAGAGAAAGAAGGAA